rnacentral:rRNA from 1 species
AGAGUUUGAUCCUGGCUCAGAUUGAACGCUGGCGGCGUGCCUAACACAUGCAAGUCGAGCGGUAACAGGUGUAGCAAUACAUGCUGACGAGCGGCGAACGGGUGAGUAAUGCUUUGGAAUCUUCCCAGUAGUGGGGAAUAACCAGUCGAAAGAUUGGCUAAUACCGCAUACGUCUGUAAAGGGAAAGCGGGGGCUCGUAAGACCUCGCGCUAUUGGAUGAGCCAAAGUCGGAUUAGCUAGUUGGUGGGGUAAUGGCCUACCAAGGCGACAAUCCGUAGCUGGUCUGAGAGGACGACCAGCCACACCGGAACUGAGACACGGUCCGGACUCCUACGGGAGGCAGCAGUGGGGAAUAUUGGACAAUGGGGGAAACCCUGAUCCAGCGACGCCGCGUGUGUGAAGAAGGCCUGCGGGUUGUAAAGCACUUUUAGUGGGGACAAAAAGCUACGGAUUAAUACUCUGUGGUCUUGAUUUAACCCAAAGAAAAAGCACCGGCUAACUCUGUGCCAGCAGCCGCGGUAAUACAGAGGGUGCGAGCGUUAAUCGGAAUUACUGGGCGUAAAGAGCGCGUAGACGGUUUUGUAAGUCAGAUGUGAAAUCCCUGGGCUCAACCUGGGAACUGCAUUUGAGACUGCAUGGCUAGAGUAUCGAAGAGGGAAGUGGAAUUUCCGGUGUAGCGGUGAAAUGCGUAGAUAUCGGAAGGAACACCAGUGGCGAAAGCGACUUCCUGGUCGAAUACUGACGUUCAUGUGCGAAAGCGUGGGGAGCAAACAGGAUUAGAUACCCCAGUAGUCC